GCGNGGACGGACCGCCACGACGACGAUGCGUAGGGGUUCUGAGAGGAAGGCCCCCACACUGGUACUGAGACACGGACCAGACUCCUACGGAAGGCAGCAG
rnacentral:rRNA from 1 species